ncrna:unclassified sequences LAGLIDADG-2 RNA
AUAUGAGGCCCAGUUAGAGGCCUCACUAACCUGGGGAGGUUAGGUAUCCAUCCGGGUAGCGGACGCUCCGUCCCUACUGGAGAGACGGCAUCCAGAGACCGGGUCAUCAGCCCCGGUCGGAACCGUUUC